AGGUUCCCGGGCUCCGCGGGAAGAGCUUUGACGACUCCUGCCUCCGGACCUCCUGGAGCAAGGUCUGGGACUUGCAAGCGCAACUGGCGACGAUCUUCCUGGGCAGACCAGAAUCUAUAAAGCGGCACGCGCACCAGUCGGCGAUGGCGCAAGGCAUUGUCUUUUCCUGCAGUGCAGCCAGGCAGUGGGCUCAGAACACUUCUGUGCCCUACCUACAGCAUCCACGUGGUCGCCCGAGUAAAGAAAAGCAGACAAUGUGGAUCCCUAGUGGAUCCCCGGGACCUCCCGAAGGCUCGUACCCUCAGCUCUACGGUUCGACACGGUUCGACACACUCCUUGCCGAAUACUUUGAACUUUGGUCCAAAGUUUCGAUCAACUACUCCCACGCAAAAUGGCGAAACAAUUUGAACACACUCUGAAUGGUCCAACUGGAUCUCAACCACCAACCCACUCCCCUCCGACCCCAGCGUCAGAGAUGGCUACCGCUGAGGCACCGUGAAGAAGCAUUUCCAGGGCCUGGAGAUGGUGAUCCAGGCCCCUGGAGAGAGAGAGACGAGCAGGACAGAAUGGACAGAGGUCAUUUUCCAGGGAUGCUGAACCCUGCACAAGGUGGAAGUUACUGAGCAAGUGAGCUGAAUGAGAGGGGCUAAGUGCUGAGGCUGUUGUAUGCCAGCAGCAUGGCUCAGGAGGGCCCUGCAGACAGGCCAGGUGCUGGAGCAGCUGAGCAGCACAGGAGAGCACUGGACGGCCUGGCCCAAGGAUGGGGAGCCCAGAAUGGUGCUCAAUGGGAAGCCGACUCACCCUCUGGCUCUGCAGAGAGUGGCCCCACUGCGCAAGAACAGCUGGAGCCGAAAAGGAUGAACCUUAUGAGGUGAGAAGCUGGGUCCGGAGACCCCAGUCUCACCUCGGGGAGAAAAGAAGAGAUGCACUUACCUUCCCGACCACUACGAACUUUCUGCAGCUCCGCGCCUCAGCUUGCGUCUCUCAGAUCUUACAUGAGAAAAGCAGGUGCAUGAAACAGAACAUCAUGGCUAGGGGGCGGCCAGAGACCACUAGAUCGUGGUACUGGGCUCCCGCAGGCUAAGGAAUUGGAGGUCCUCAGCCCAGGAAAACCUGAUGAAUUAGAAGACUUUGAAGAUGCCUGCUGCUUGCUGACAGAAAGGAGUGUUUGAAUGGCAGCUUUGAGACAAUCCAGCAUCUUUGGAGCCUUCAGCCCUGUGCUUCCUUUGGAUCCUUGCCACUGUGUUGUGUGAUGUGGAGCCUCACAAAGGCCCCUUCGAGAUUGGAAACCUGCUCCACUUCAGUCUCUUGUAUGUGGAGCACAACCUUCAAUCCUGAAGGGAAGGUUUGCUAAGCAGGAGAGCUCCGGGGAGCUCUGUCUUCUGAGGACUAGGAUUGAAGCCAGGUCCACAUGUGAGUGCUCUACCACUGAUCUACACUGGCACGCCCCCCCGCUUUAUUUAUUUUGAGACAAGAUCUCACUGAGUUGCCCAUACUGACUUUAAACUUGGAACCCUCAUGCUUUAGACUCUUGAGUAAUGGUUAUUAUAAGCACAAACCACUGUGCCCAGUCUGAAGGGUGUCUUAGUUGUUAACCACCUCUAUAAGAGUGAGUUCUGGGGCCCAAACACCCAGUUUUAUGAGUUAACACCAUGCCUCUCUCCUAAUAAACUUGUGAAGAAAGAUUGA